rnacentral:rRNA from 1 species
CUUGACCUCAAAUCANGUGGGACUACCCGCUGAACUU